UCUCUGGAGGACUAGUGGUUAGGACGCAGCACUCUCACUGCUGCUGCCCGGGUUUGAUUCCUGGCCAGGGAA